GGCAUUCCUUUUUGAACAGUACCCAUUCCCUUGAUGUCUACAAUAUCACCUUUCUUAUAGAUUCGCAUAUAUGUGGCCAAAGGAACAACUCCAUGUUUUCUAAAAGGCCUAGAGAACAUAUAUCGGGUGCCUCUCCUCUUUCCCUUUGUGUUCGUCAUUUUGGCGAAUUACUGGAAGAUGGCGGUUCCGGCCGAAAGGGCAAGAUGCAUAUUGGAUAUCUAAAUAGAGAUAUCAAGAAAUGAAGAUAUGCAUUUCCAGUUCCAGAGAGAAAUUCACACUGGAAAUAUAAAUUUAGGAAUUUUAAAGUUAGUGGUCACAUUUAAAGCUGCAGAAUACAAAGAGAUCACCUGUGUGAGAGAACUGAGUCCUGAAACAUACCCGUGUUUAAAGAUCUGGGAGGUGCAGAGGAAUUAUCAAAGGAGGCUGAGAAGGAGCAGCCAGUGAGGUGUGUAGAAAAACAAGAUAAGCAAAAAGAAAAGCAAGAGAUAUGGAACUGAACUUCCCUUUGGCAAAAAAUUUAGAAAAUGAUAAUGAGACUCCGCUUUCUGUCUCUCUGAAGAUAACGUUAAGCUGCAGCUCCGUAUCUGUGAAAACCCAUUUCACAGCAUCUGCAUCCCUGGAUUGCUAAAUACCCUUGUCUAGUUACCCAAAUAUUAAUGGAUCCCAUGGAAUAAGGUGGCAUGAUUUAGGCACAAGCAAUUACCAAAGGAUUUUGAAAAGCAGUAACUCCAAAUUAUCUUGUAAAGUUGAGAAUAAUCUGAGAAGAGCUAUUGUAAGACUGGGAAUCAAGUAACAAAAUAAAGA
rnacentral:lncRNA from 10 species